GAAACAUGGCAGCACUUCAUGGAUCACACCUCGGACAAAUAAACCAAAAAAAUUUUGGUGUUUGUUGGGCACCACAAGCUUUGGCCUCCAGAGAACUGAUUUGCCAAGACCUCCUUUUAUUUAAGGCUGUAAAGGUUUACCUGGAGGAAACACUCCUAGAGCAGCUUUAUUUUACACCAGGGAGAGUGGAAACUCAAAACCAGCGGCGAAUUUUUCUCUAAUAGUGCUUAAAAAAUUGGAAUUCUUCUGAAAUAUUGCUUUUAAAAACAUCAACAAAAGAAUCCUGCUUUCCCCCACAACCUGGGAUCCCCACUGGCAGCAGCCCCAGGUCAUUUGGGGUCUGCACCCAUCACGAACCUCAGUAUAAAACCCUAAGGGAGUUGUCCUUGUUGGAUGGAGCAGCCACUCCAAAACUCUGAAAAACUUCAGAGUUCAGACAUAAAACGUGUGAGCAUUUCAGAUCUGGAAAGAGAACUGCAUUAUUUGU